rnacentral:tRNA from 1 species
GCCUGACUGGCUCAGUUGGUAGAGCAUGCGACUCUUGAUCUCAGGGUUGUAGGUUCAAGCCCCAUGUUAGGGA